rnacentral:sRNA from 1 species
UAAUCUUCUGUGAUGUUUGCACGAUGACAAAAGUCAUGUAAGGACACAUUUCUCAGAACAUAUCCCCUUCGUUAAGCAACACGUGACUGUCUUUGCAUUGAAAAUUUUGAUAGAUACUAACUCACCCUUCACAAGGGUAAAAACAAUUUGCACUCUCAACAGCCAUCCUCCCAUCUUCUUGUUGACAUUACAUCUUAUUCUCUGGAAUGUUUGCCAAUCUGAUGGGGGGCGGAAAGGACCCCAGUGUCAAGUGUAUUUUUGGAUCAUAGUUUUCAAGCAUAUUUUUAGUACCAUUUAUAAUUUUUUAUAUGUCAAACAGGUUAUAUAUAGAAAAUAUUUUCUACUGGAUGUUACAAAUUAAUCUUUAUUAUCUUUUCUCAGGAUUUACAAAGUACCCAAGCAUCUGGUCUGGAACUGACAGAGAUAAGUAGAGAAAAUGUUCCAAAGUCUGGCGCGCCCCAGCUUGUGAGUAUUUUUGCCUGGGUUAUUUCAUGUGGAAUAUUUUAUAACGUUGCAUAGAAAAUGAACAGUUUA